rnacentral:tRNA from 1 species
GGAGAGUUGGCAGAGUGGUCGAAUGCACUAGUCUUGAAAACUAGCNNGAGUUCGAAUCUCUCACUCUCCG